AGAGCUCGUUAUCCCUCCGAUGCCUUCAGAAGCUGUUGGCUGCUGUUAGUGCUGCUGAAUAACAAUCAGGCGAAAGACUUAGAGAACGUAUGAGAUGCUGGGUCAGCAAGAGGAAAAAGAAUGAUGAAACUCGUGCAGAAUUCUUAUGCCAGUUUGACAGAAUUUUAUAAGGGAACUGAAUUUGUCUAUGGUUUGGAAAGGUCCCAGAAAAUAAUGAGAGUGGGAACCCUCAAGUGCUACUGCAAUGCAAGAAAUUAUUGAUUAGGCUAAAAUCAGAUUACUGGUUUACUCCU